rnacentral:sRNA from 1 species
ACGAGAUGCCUCUCCGACCAGACGAACAGAACCCUAAGCAAGCUCUAUUCUUCCUGAUCAGAGGGGCAUUUCUACGUCACGACGCUCGCUCAACGCCCCGUCCAUCGGUGGAUCGAG